rnacentral:rRNA from 1 species
UACGAAGGGGGCUAGCGUUGCUCGGAAUCACUGGGCGUAAAGCGCACGUAGGCGGCUUUCUAAGUCAGGGGUGAAAUCCUGGAGCUCAACUCCAGAACUGCCUUUGAUACUGGGAAGCUUGAGUCCGGAAGAGGUGAGUGGAACUCCGAGUGUAGAGGUGAAAUUCGUAGAUAUUCGGAAGAACACCAGUGGCGAAGGCGGCUCACUGGUCCGGUACUGACGCUGAGGUGCGAAAGCGUGGGGAGCAAACAGGG